UGCCAGAGUGUUGACAUUAGAGUUCAUCUGU
rnacentral:piRNA from 1 species